ensembl:lncRNA
GUAAGUCAGUGCCUGAACAUGUUGUCCCUGACGUGAUGCGAUAUGAAUUUAACGAGCAUGAUGCUCCCAGACGAGGAGGGGACCGUGACCAGGAGUCAGGGAGAGACGGCGGGGGAACUGGCAGGGGCGGACUGCUCUGGAACCUGAGAGACUCUUCAAACCUGACCUCAGUCCACCACGGAGCAACAGGAGACUUAAAUAAAGGAACACUUUGAGCUACUGGGCGGACUAACUCCUUGACUGAAGGAGGUGAGGCUGCCGUGUCUGUGGAGGAAGUUUUGAUGUUCGCAACUGGACUGAAUUCACUUCCCCCAUCUGAAUUGGAACCAUCACCAAGAAUAGAGUUCCUGGAUGACUCUCCAUUCCCAAUGGCAAAUACAUGUUGUGAGGGACAAGCGUGGUCGCUCCACGUAUCUGGGAUACGUCCAACCAGAUUCAGAGAGUGUAGGCAAAAACUAGGGUAAUUGUCGCAGGACAAGAAAAGUGAAGCUUUAUUUUCUCUCUUGUACUGGCCUCCCAUCAAGCCAGCACCACCUUCAGCCCCCAAACACCAAAUGAGGCAGCCCUUAAAUAGGGGAAUGAUUGGACCAAUCAAGGCCGUAUGGGCCAGACCACUAGUUGGGGGAACAUUCUUUAGCUAGAGCUACCAAUCCUACAUAACUGAACAGAAAGUACAUCGUGUGAAUACAAAAUAAACAUGACACUAAAUAAACAAUCACCAAAUACAUAUAUACCCACACCUUGUGCACAACCUAUAGAUAUUUACAAAACAGCUGUUUUUAUCAACACCCCCUGGGCCAUUCCCUGAUGCCAUGAUCCUGAGCUUCCCUUACCACACUGCCCCCUACCGUGGCGGAAGCCCAAUUUCCCACAUCCCAAUUAUAUAUAUAUAUACACACAUAUAAUAAUAAUUUCUCUAAUGCAAGACUGAGAAGGGGAAGGAUUUCACCUUCUCACACAUGUUCAAACACAUUGAAAUUACCACUCCUAGACAUGUACACUGUGUUUAAGACAAAAAAAAAUGGACAUUGGACUUCAAAAUUCUCCAGGAUUUGGAUGUUUUUAAGCCCUGAGAUGACCCCUAGGGACGCUGAAAAGGUU